GCCAUUGAUCGAGAGAUCGAAACCGCCUAUAUUCCUCCUCGCCGGCUUCGGCCGGCUAUGGCGAUAAACGGGCAGCGUAAUAAACCUAUCGGACCCGGGGGCAGUACCCGGCGCCUCCACCACCAACGGUGCUCGGUCCCGAGCUUGACGACGGAUCGAAGCGCCGCUGAUGAUGGGGGCGAAACAGGAUCGACGAGGGCGUAAAGGUUGUGCUUUUGCUCGGCAUUGUACCACCGUUAUCGGGCUAUCCAAAUAGUUGCCAACGACAACUAUGCUGAGGUUCGUCUCGCUGCGUAAUGCAGCCUGAUGGCUUCGAAUCAAGUCCUGGCCGUUAGCGCGGUUUAGGCGGGGCCCGGAGGCGCCUGGCAACAGAAGCCUCCACU
rnacentral:tmRNA from 1 species